GCCUGGGUGGCUCACUUGGUUGAGCAUCUGACUUCGGCUCAGGUCAUGAUCUCACAGUUUGUGGGUUCGAGCCCCGCGUCAGGCU
rnacentral:tRNA from 1 species